CUAUGCGACCGCAUAGAUGGUUACACUAUGCGGUCGCAUAGACUAACCAACUAUGAAGUCUUUACAUUUUGGUCCCUGAACUUUCCUUGUUGCUUCUCUUGACUUCUUUCUUCGAUUUCUUCAUCUUUUCAACAAAUGUUAUCCUCCAAUUGAUGAUUGACACCAUCGAAUCUCUUGCCACUCAUUCGGCUCAUCUUUUGAGUAUUUGCGCUUUAGUCCUCCAACUUUUAACUGUCUUCAUUUCAGUCCCUCUUCGAUUCUUUCUUCCUCCACUUGUUUUGCUUUGUCCUUGAGCUCAUACUCGGAAUGUUUUUACUCUCGUUUUGCAUUUAGCUCAACUUCUCAAUAUUUGCACCUUUGGUCCUCGAACUAUCAAUUUGUUGCGUUUUGGUCCUUCUUCGGCUCUUUUCUCCUGAAUUCCACAAUUUCCAUUGAAUUACCUACAAUGCAUGAAUUUAACUAGAUUAAGUCACAAUUCAACCAUUUUAUCCAUGUUUAAGUCAUGUUUGUGAACCAAAUCAGUGUGUAAAAACAUACUUAUC
rnacentral:lncRNA from 1 species